rnacentral:rRNA from 1 species
UAGGGAAUCUUCCGCAAUGGGCGAAAGCCUGACGGAGCAACGCCGCGUGCGUGAUGAAGGUCUUCGGAUCGUAAAACUCUGUUAUUAGGGAAGAACAAAUGUGUAAGUAACUAUGCACGUCUUGACGGUACCUAAUCAGAAAGCCACGGCUAACUACGUGCCAGCAGCCGCGGUAAUACGUAGGUGGCAAGCGUUAUCCGGAAUUAUUGGGCGUAAAGCGCGCGUAGGCGGUUUUUUAAGUCUGAUGUGAAAGCCCACGGCUCAACCGUGGAAGGUCAUUGGAAACUGGAAAACUUGAGUGCAGAAGAGGAAAGUGGAAUUCCAUGUGUAGCGGUGAAAUGCGCAGAGAUAUGGAGGAACACCAGUGGCGAAGGCGACUUUCUUGUCUGUAACUGACGCUGAUGUGCGAAAGCGUGGGGAUCAAACAGGA